rnacentral:rRNA from 1 species
GAUGAACGCUGGCGGCGUGCCUAAUACAUGCAAGUCGAGCGAACAGACGAGGAGCUUGCUCCUCUGACGUUAGCGGCGGACGGGUGAGUAACACGUGGAUAACCUACCUAUAAGACUGGGAUAACUUCGGGAAACCGAAGCUAAUACCGGAUAAUAUAUUUAACCACAUGGUUCAAUAGUGAAAGACGGUUUUGCUGUACCUUAUAGAUGGAUCCCGGUGGCUUUAGCUGUUUGGGAAGGUAACGGUUUACCAAGGGAAGGAUGCGUGCCGGACUGAGAAGGGGAAUCGCCCCCACGGGACCUGGACCACGCCCAAGCCCCCUAGGGGAGGAAGCAGAGGGGAAUCUUGGGAAAUGGGGGAAAGCCUGACGGAGAACGCCGGCGUGAGUGAUGAAGGUCUCCGGAUCGUAAACCUCGGUUAUUAGGGAAGAAGAAAGGGGUAAUUAAAUGCGCACGUAGUGACGGUAACUAAUCAGAAAGCCACGGCUAACUACGUG